rnacentral:tRNA from 1 species
GCGGAGAGAGCUCGGAGGAUGAGCAUUAGAUUGUGAAUCUAUUGGUCAUGGGUUCGAAUCCCAUUCUUCGCC